GAUGAACGCUAGCUACAGGCUUAACACAUGCAAGUCGAGGGGAAACGGCAUUAAGUGCUUGCACUUUUUGGACGUCGACCGGCGCACGGGUGAGUAACGCGUAUCCAACCUUCCCAUGACUAAGGGAUAACCUGCCGAAAGGCAGACUAAUACCUUAUGGUCUUCACUGACGGCAUCAGAUGUGAAGUAAAGAUUUAUCGGUUAUGGAAGGGGAUGCGUCUGAUUAGCUUGUUGGCGGGGUAACGGCCCACCAAGGCAACGAUCAGUAGGGGUUCUGAGAGGAAGGUCCCCCACAUUGGAACUGAGACACGGUCCAAACUCCUACGGGAGGCAGCAGUGAGGAAUAUUGGUCAAUGGGCGAGAGCCUGAACCAGCCAAGUAGCGUGCAGGAGGACGGCCCUAGGGGUUGUAAACUGCUUUUGUAUGGGGAUAAAGUCAAUCACGUGUGAUUGUUUGCAGGUACCAUACGAAUAAGGACCGGCUAAUUCCGUG
rnacentral:rRNA from 1 species